CAAUGUACCCAAUAAUAACUCAAUAGCAAAGAUUAAAAGGAGCAAAUACAACACGUAACAGCAAACAAUGGACAAUAAAUGGGCCAAAACAUGUUUCUUAACAUAUAACUGCACUUUAAAAAAAUGGAAAUGCAAAACUCGAAAAUACCAGUAUCCUAGAGAACAAACGGUGGUAGACAGACACUCAAUUCUUCGCCACAGAAUGAUACACAUGAAUAAUCUUUCUCUUCGACCAACAACAGUAAAUUCUAAAUAAGGAAGAAUGCAUACCUAUAAUCUAACAUGCUUAAGAAAAUGACAAACAGGAUAUAUGAUAUUAAGCGGAAGUUAAAGCUUUGCACAUGUACUAAUCAACAAAAAGGACAAAAGUAAUACAACAAGACAUUAUUUUGUAGGCAUGAAAGAGGGAUGGACUUCCAAAUUUUUACAAUUUCAAAGAGGAAGAAAGGUAUGAACAUGCUUUAAUAGUUAUUAAGAUAGUUAUUUAAAUAACACCAACAAAAAUUGACCCGUGCUUUAGUAAGUAAAGGAGACAAAUGUAUUCUCGACUACAACUAGAAUUUAAAAAUAUCGGGUGACGAAUGAACAAAGGGACGAACAAAAGAAAUUUCCAUUCAAAACUAGACAGAUUUGCAGGCAUGCUAUUUUGAAGUACAUCUGAAAUAACUAAAUGUGUGACUGCAUAAUGCACCCUAUACUCUCAAAACAUAUGACGGAAGCACGAAUAUUACUACAAUAAAAAAAACAAGCAUAAAACGAUGACAAACCAGUAAACAAACUAUACUUGAAGCAAAUACAGUGACCACAAGUUCAGGAUGAGUGAAAAAGAGACAGAGAAAACAUGCUCUAAUCAGUCAUUUAAACGACUUGAAAACAAAACAUAAGCCACCUCAAAUCCAACAUAUUGAACAUAUUGAACAUGAAAUCUAAAUAAAAGGGGUUAGAG
rnacentral:misc_RNA from 1 species